UUUCAAUGCUGUUCGUGAAGUUUAUGAACGUGUUUAUGAAACAGUGGACAUCACUGGAAGUCCUGAUAUC
rnacentral:snoRNA from 1 species